rnacentral:rRNA from 1 species
UACGUAGGGGGCAAGCGUUGUCCGGAAUCAUUGGGCGUAAAGCGCGUGUAGGCGGUCCGGUAAGUCCGCUGUGAAAGUCGGGGGGCUCAACCCUCGGAUGCCGGUGGAGUACUGUCGGGCUUGAGUACGGAAGAGGCGAGUGGAAUUCCUGGUGUAGCGGUGAAAUGCGCAGAUAUCAAGGAGGAACACCAAUUGCGAAGGCAGCUCGCUGGGACGUUACUGACGCUGAGACGCGAAAGCGUGGGGAGCAAACAGG